rnacentral:rRNA from 1 species
AUUGAACGCUGGCGGCAUGCCUUACACAUGCAAGUCGAACGGCAGCACGGGUGCUUGCACCUGGUGGCGAGUGGCGAACGGGUGAGUAAUACAUCGGAACAUGUCCUGUAGUGGGGGAUAGCCCGGCGAAAGCCGGAUUAAUACCGCAUGCGAUCUACGGAUGAAAGCGGGGGACCUUCGGGCCUCGCGCUAUAGGGUUGGCCGAUGGCUGAUUAGCUAGUUGGUGGGGUAAAGGCCUACCAAGGCGACGAUCAGUAGCUGGUCUGAGAGGACGACCAGCCACACUGGGACUGAGACACGGCCCAGACUCCUACGGGAGGCAGCAGUGGGGAAUUUUGGACAAUGGGCGAAAGCCUGAUCCAGCAAUGCCGCGUGUGUGAAGAAGGCCUUCGGGUUGUAAAGCACUUUUGUCCGGAAAGAAAUCCUUGGCCCUAAUACGGUCGGGGGAUGACGGUACCGGAAGAAUAAGCACCGGCUAACUACGUG